UACGAACCGUCCAAACGUUACUCGGAAUCACUGGGCUUAAAGGGUGCGUAGGCCGCGCGGCGGGUGGGAUGUGAAAUCCCCCGGCUCAACCGGGGAAUAGCGUCCCAAACCGCCGUGCUCGAGGGAGACAGAGGUGAGCGGAACUGAUGGUGGAGCGGUGAAAUGCGUUGAUAUCAUCAGGAACACCAGUGGCGAAGGCGGCUCACUGGGUCUUUCCUAACGCUGAGGCACGAAAGCUAGGGGAGCGAACGGG
rnacentral:rRNA from 1 species